GAUGAACGUUGGCGGCGUGCCUAAUACAUGCAAGUCGAGCGAACGGACGAGAAGCUUUUUCUCUGAUGUUAGCGGCGGACGGGUGAGUAACACGUGGAUAACCUACCUAUAAGACUGGGAUAACUUCGGGAAACCGGAGCUAAUACCGGAUAAUAUUUUGAACCGCAUGGUUCAAAAGUGAAAGACGGUCUUGCUGUCACUUAUAGAUGGAUCCGCGCUGCAUUAGCUAGUUGGUAAGGUAACGGCUUACCAAGGCAACGAUGCAUAGCCGACCUGAGAGGGUGAUCGGCCACACUGGAACUGAGACACGGUCCAGACUCCUACGGGAGGCAGCAGUAGGGAAUCUUCCGCAAUGGGCGAAAGCCUGACGGAGCAACGCCGCGUGAGUGAUGAAGGUCUUCGGAUCGUAAAACUCUGUUAUUAGGGAAGAACAUAUGUGUAAGUAACUGUGCACAUCUUGACGGUACCUAAUCAGAAAGCCACGGCUAACUACGUG
rnacentral:rRNA from 1 species